UAAAGAGAAUUAUGAAGGGAAACCGUUGAAGUGCUGAAGGGAACGAAAAUCCCUUCACGAAGGGAAUUCAUUGGGCAUAGUCUAACAAGCGGGUCGCCCCUCCCUCUCUUGCACCGCCAUCGAGGUUUGAUCACUUGGUCACUUUGUGCAAAGAUUCAUAGAAUCACCCAAAUCCCACGUCUGCACCUCGCGCAAAUCCCCUAGUUCCAGCGUCCACCUUAGCACGCUUGCUAGCCCGAGAUUGCCAGGUUCCUUGUUGUUGUCCAUCCAUCGCGCUAGAUGAACCCCUCCACUGCUGGCCUACUACGAGCGUCGAGGCAUACCCCCAUGAGUGCAAGCGUGUUCCCUUGCGCUAGACGGACCCCUCCACUGGCAGGUUGCCAUGAGCACCGAGGUUGCUUGAUUUGGGGUUUUCUGUGUGUUGUUGAUUGGGAUGGUGAUGGCAGCAGGAGGAGGGCAAGGUCGCCGUCCUGGAACGCGCUAUCAGCCGUGUUCCUCCAAAAAGUGCGAUUGAUUCAUGUUGUUGGUUCAAGAUUAGAGAUCGCUGGCAGAGCAGACGGUGAGCUCGUGGAUGAACAGGCGCUUUAAAGGAAGAGGAUGGAUCAGGAGCUCGAGCCCGACGUAUUGAACAUGGGAGAAGCACUACAAACUUACACGGACGUCAUCCCUCGACGGUCAAGUCUACUCGAACUCGAGGCUGAGCUCAAGUCGUGGUCAUGGUCGAGUCGCAGGACAAUACGUUAGUAAAACUGGCAUAACUCUCUCAUACAAAAUUCGUUUUACGCAAUCUUAGACAUUCUAGAAUGCUUACGACAAUCCUUUUCCAAUAGAUAUGAGCUCGACCAUAUAUUCCUUAUAGUUUAGUCAGAAUCAAAGAAAUAAGGUACUGCACCACCAUUUUGGACCCUGUUGGGUCUUGUAAUCAUGUUGGAGUCGGAGUCUAGGUUGUGUACGCCUCUUUUCAUGGCUGCACAACCCUAGGUCGACCUCCUCACGUCCCCCCUAUAUAUACACAGUAGCCGUCAUAUUUUAGGUUUGGAUUUUGCUUGGAUUAUUCUGUUUUAUAUAGUUUCACCGCUUGUUCGGUUUGUGGA